CCCUAACAUGUCAGCUGGGCUCAAAUGCGGCACCUGCUUAUCUGAGAAUAAGGCUCCAUUGAACCAAAUGGGGUUUAUUUCUGAACAGACAUUGCGUGUCUUCUCUGAGCUAAGCGCUGCUGAAUUGAGGGAUGUUGCAUUCAUUAGUCACUUCUCCAUAAAGGGGUCUCAAAGUGGUUUAUGGUGCAAAAUUAAAACCAAGCAGAAGAGAGAAUAAAAUAAGAUGUUGCAAUGCUCGUCUGUAAAUAUGUGCAAAGGGGCAGGUCCAACCCACUAGAAAGAGGAGCCGGAAAGAAUUCAUACAAAUAGGAAGACUUUGUUCCAAUGCAUAUGGUGAGGGGUAAUCCGGAUUGGGACCACAACAGCAUCAAAGAGCUUGAAAAACAACCCUUUCUGGAUUGCCUGCUAUUUGCCUGCUGGUCUAUCUCCCUUAGCCUCAUUUACGCAGGCUGACAGUGGCUCUCCAAGCUUUCAGUCAAGGGUCUCUUACAGCCCUACUUGGAAAGGAUGGGGACUGAACCCAAGACCUUCUGCAUGAGCCAUGACCCUUCUUCAUGCAAUUAGUGUCUUGUCUAGUUUGGGCUUCGAAUGCCCGUUGUUGACACUCUAUUCAUAACUCAAAGAAACAUUGUGCAAUGGCCAACGUAUGGUAAAAUCAGGUAUGUUUCCUAUGAUCAUCAAAUAAUACUUGGAAUUUUCUUUUCAACCUGCAGGUGUCAGUCAUUCGCUAUUUUAAUACUCACCAGUUGCAGGGAGAAGGCCCAUCUAGAGAUUGUUGAUUCAUUCCUGUGGAAAGUGGCGGUGCAUUUGAAAGUGUGUGUUUGCAGUUGCGGACACUUGCCAAAGCUGCUCACUUAUAUUUAGACUUGUAGCUCUCCCUAUCCUGAAGCCUAGACAACUGGCUUUAAAAGUUAUGCAUAUCUAUCGGAAUGAAAAUCUACAGACAAAAUUCCCAAACUGAAUGUGCCCUCUUAUGUGCUCCAUAAACCUUAGUGGUCUGCUUAGAUGGGGCCAACGGUAGGGUAAUCUGGCCUCGCCCAUUCUUGCAUAGCUACUAUAUGGCCGUCUAUGGCUCUCUAUUUAGGAAGGCCUUGGAAUAAGAUAUUGCCAGAUCUCAGCUAUUAGACUACACCAACUGGCCUCUCUACCUCAGGGAGGUCCAUCUGACAACUUUGCUGACAUCAUUUUGGCAGCGCCAUUGAAGACUUACCUUUUUUGGCCUUUGAUGGACUGAGGUGGUUUUGCUGAACUGUUAGCUUGGCGCCAAAGCUUCCUGUGGCAGUUGUGUGUGUGUGUGUGUUGCAUCUGUUCUAUAUGUAUUUCCACUGGUAUAAUAUACCGUAAGUCACUUUGAGACCUUUUAAGUAAUAAGUGACAUGUUUAAAUAACAAUGAUGGUGAUAGGCUCCUUUAUAUACACAUGUACCCUAUAAAUUUCAAAAUUGUUCCUUCCUCCAAAAUUCCUGUUUCAAUGUGUUGUGCCACACAGCAGGUGGAUUACACUAGUAGGACUGCAAGAAGUUUUGUAAAGUGGAUUAUCUGAAAUAUUACAAGAAAGAUUAUGAAAAGAAUUAUUAGUUAAGGCAAUUAAAUGCAAUAUAGAAAUUAAGAAAUGCAGAAUAAGUGAUAAAGAACGGAAAAUCAUAGAGGUG